rnacentral:rRNA from 1 species
GAUGAACGCUGGCGGCGUGCCUAAUACAUGCAAGUCGAGCGAACGGACGAGAAGCUUGCUUUUCUGAUGUUAGCGGCGGACGGGUGAGUAACACGUGGAUAACCUACCUAUAAGACUGGGACAACUUCGGGAAACCGGAGCUAAUACCGGAUAAUAUUUUGAACCGCAUGGUUCAAAAGUGAAAGACGGUCUUGCUGUCACUUAUAGAUGGAUCCGCGCUGCAUUAGCUAGUUGGUAAGGUAACGGCUUACCAAGGCAACGAUGCAUAGCCGACCUGAGAGGGUGAUCGGCCACACUGGAACUGAGACACGGUCCAGACUCCUACGGGAGGCAGCAGUAGGGAAUCUUCCGCAAAGGGCGAAAGCCUGACGGAGCAACGCCGCGUGAGUGAUGAAGGUCUUCGGAUCGUAAAACUCUGUUAUUAGGGAAGAACAUAUGUGUAAGUAACUGUGCACAUCUUGACGGUACCUAAUCAGAAAGCCACGGCUAACUACGUG